UACAGAGGUCUCAACCGUUGUUCGGAUUCAUUGGGCGUAAAGGGCGCGUAGGCGGCGCGGAAAGUCGUCGGUGAAAGCUCGGGGCUCAACCCUGAGUCUGCCGGUGAUACUCCCGCGCUCGAGCUCACUAGAGGCAGAUGGAAUUCCGGGUGUAGCGGUGGAAUGCGUAGAGAUCCGGAAGAACACCGGUGGCGAAGGCGGUCUGCUGGGGUGAGGCUGACGCUGAUGCGCGACAGCGUGGGGAGCAAACAGG
rnacentral:rRNA from 1 species